rnacentral:rRNA from 1 species
GGGCCCGCACAAGCGGUGGAGCAUGUGGUUUAAUUCGAUGAUACGCGAGGAACCUUACCAGGGCUUAAAUGUAGUGGGACAGGUCUAGAGAUAGACCCUUCUUCGGACUCUCUACAAGGUGCUGCAUGGUUGUCGUCAGCUCGUGCCGUGAGGUGUCGGGUUAAGUCCCAUAACGAGCGCAACCCCUAUCUUUAGUUGCCAGCGGUUCGGCCGGGGACUCUAAAGAAACUGCCCGCGCAAGCGGUGAGGAAGGUGGGGAUGACGUCAAAUCAUCACGGCCCUUACGUCUUGGGCUACACACGUGCUACAAUGGUAGUGACAAUGGGCAGCCACUCCGCGAGGAGGCGCAAAUCCACAAACACUAUCUCAGUUCGGAUCGGAGUCUGCAACUCGACUCCGUG